AUGUCCCACUGUACUCAUGAAAUUUCUUGAAUAUUGUUGCUGCUUAAUAUCUUUGAGUAAUAUGGGAAGCCUCCUACCAGGACUAGCUACCUAUGUUGCCUGCACUCAGAUAUGGAGUGUUGGAUACAACACAUAUCCAAGGCGAAACACUCUUACUCUGGAAUAUAUGAAAAUUGGUGAUACGGAACCUGACCUGAUUUUGGAUAAGAUAUCUUAGUAAGAUUAAACAAAAAUGUAAAAAGGAAUCUGAGAAUUAGAAAUAAUCUUUUCUUAAACUACCAAGGAGGCUUCUCAUAUUUCUUUUUCUCCUUUUCUUUUUCCUUUUACUUCCGCAUUUUCUUCUGCAUCCUCAGUUCAUCUCUUAUGUGGUCUGUAAGUUGGUCAAAGUGUCCAACGUUCAGUUGAAGGAUCUAGCAUGACUAAGUGUUCUGUGCAGGGGUCUGACACGUGUACAACAAAUGAGUCCCAGUAACAUAGGUAAAAGUUACAGUUUCUUUACCUAGGUAAAAGGUACAGUUUCUUUACCUUUGAUGGUUUUGAUAAAUUACAAGCAGAGAUCAUUUUAAUAGCAGAUAUAUCUCCUCUGGUUCGCAGAAAUUCUGCAUACUAAAGCUGAUUUUUGUCUUGCUUACUAUUAAUUUUAGCGUCUCCAGUAAGAAAAUAAGUAACAUGCAAUUCUUUCUAUAACAGUGGGAAAAUAGAAGAGACUAACUUGAUUCAUGAAAGCACACACUAGAAAAACCCAUAAAUAUAUAAGUCAAAAUAUUGUGGUACAUGAGCAAUCGUGAAUCUUCAAGUAGAAUUAAAGUUUCAGCCUCUCCGUUACUAUCUAAGUUGAACUAGAAUAUCACUAUAUGCUAAUAGAUUUGCUGCAGCUUGUUAAUUGUUUGGCCUAAAAUACAAUAUGAUACUAUCCUGACUGAUACACCUUCCAAACAACACCAGGAUACACGACAUUUCGAAGCACACAAAAUCAUGAAAGAGAGUGUAGAGGCAGUUGAAGAGAGUGAAGAAACGAUGGAUGAAAUACAGAAUCAGGAACAAGCGCACAAAACCACAGAAAAAAUCAUGUGCAAAGAAUCUGCUCCGCAGGUGCAUACCGAAGCUAAAAGAAAAGUUGGUGAUACUACUGCUUCCACUUGCAUGGACGCCAAUACUAUAUCAGAGAAACUGAAUGAAGCAGAGACACCAGGUGUUAAUACCCCUAGAAGAUCGCCAAGGAAUAAAAAGUCAGUCCAUAUCGAAAAAGGUAGUACUCCCUGCAAGCCUUCAAAAGUUGCAAAGCCUCCUACAAUAUUGUAAGUAAUUGGUAUACUAGUUUUUUUGGAGACUGUAGGAAGAUAUGCAGGUCUUUUUAAACUUGAAGUUUUGUAGGUUCAGAUAGUAGUAAGUUUGAUGUUGUAUAUGCUAAUGUUAUCAUCGUUCUCUUUUGUAGCACAAAGUUACCAACCCAUAAAGAGAAGCGCAAACGAUUAGCUUGGAAAGUGGAAGAGGAGGAGAUGCUGAAGGUACUGUCUCUAGAUUAAGUUUUUGUCUGUUUUUGAACUACUGUGUAAUUACUGUGACUGUAGAAUUAGAUGAUGUCCCACUGUACUCAUGAAAUUUCUUGAAUAUUGUUGCUGCUUAAUAUCUUUGAGUAAUAUGGGAAGCCUCCUACCAGGACUAGCUACCUAUGUUGCCUGCACUCAGGUAUGUAGUGUCGGACACGACACAUAUCCAAGGCAAAACACUUUAACUCUGGAAUUUAUGGAAAUUGGUGAUACUAGGGCCUGACCUGAUUUUGGAUAAGAUAUCCUAGUAAUGAUUAAACAAAAAUGUAGAAUGGAAUCUGCGAAUUAGAAAUAAUCUUUUCUUAAACUGCCUAGGAGGCUUCUCAUAUUUCUUAUUCUCCUUUUCUUCUUCCUUUUCUCCGUAUUUUCUUUUGCAUUC
rnacentral:lncRNA from 1 species